GCCCCCGUGGCCCAAUUGGCAGAGGCGGUCGACUUAAAAUCGAUUCAGUGCCGGUUCGAGUCCGGUCGGGGGCA
rnacentral:tRNA from 2 species